rnacentral:rRNA from 1 species
GAUGAAGCCUUUCGGGGUGGAUUAGUGGCGAACGGGUGAGUAACACGUGGGCAAUCUGCCCUGUACUUUGGGAUAAGCCUGGGAAACUGGGUCUAAUACCGGAUAUGACAGGUUCUCGCAUGGGAACUUGUGGAAAGCUCCGGCGGUACGGGAUGAGCCCGCGGCCUAUCAGCUUGUUGGUGGGGUAAUGGCCUACCAAGGCGACGACGGGUAGCCGGCCUGAGAGGGUGACCGGCCACACUGGGACUGAGACACGGCCCAGACACAUACGGGAGGCAGCAGUGGGGAAUAUUGCACAAUGGGCGCAAGCCUGAUGCAGCGACGCCGCGUGAGGGAUGACGGCCUUCGGGUUGUAAACCUCUUUCGCCAGGGACGAAGCGCAAGUGACGGUACCUGGAUAAGAAGCACCGGCUAACUACGUGCCAGCAGCCGCGGUAAUACGUAGGGUGCGAGCGUUGUCCGGAAUUAUUGGGCGUAAAGAGCUCGUAGGCGGUUUGUCGCGUCGUUCGUGAAAACUCCACGCUUAACGUGGAGCGUGCGGGCGAUACGGGCAGACUUGAGUUCGGUAGGGGAGACUGGAAU